AUUUGUCUUCACAUCCUCCAUGCUCUCACUCCUUUUGUGGAUCUGAGCCUUGUGACUGAGUCCCUUGAUUCUUCUUACUUCCGCUGUUCCUUUUCAUUCCAACAAAGGCAAGGCAAAAUACUGCUGCCCCUGUGAAAGCUAAUGGGGAUUCAAAUAAACCAAUCGUGUCAAAAGGAUUACUAUUUAGAUUGAGAAGUUGGACAGGCCGACUCAAAUGCCCCCAACAUAUACUGUGAUUGUGAACCAUCCGUCUUCACCACACCACCGUGUUCCGCUUUUUCUAUCUUUGUCUUCUCUGGGAAAAGAUCAAUGAAGGACACAGUGCACGGCCGGCCGGGCGCCUGCUGAGGGGUUGUCGACAUGAAAUAGGCCCUGGGAAUAUCAUCACACUUAUCAGACCCUCUGAACAAUGGUCACAGGC
rnacentral:lncRNA from 1 species